UACGUAGUUUGCUAGCGUUGUCCGGAUUUACUGGGCGUAAAGAGCGCGCAGGCGGUCGUUCAAGUCGAGUGUGAAAGCCCCCGGCUCAACUGGGGAGGGUCACUCGAUACUGAUCGACUCGAAGGCAGAAGAGGGAAGCGGAAUUCCCGGUGUAGUGGUGAAAUGCGUAGAUAUCGGGAGGAACACCAGUGGCGAAGGCGGCUUUCUGGUCUGCUCUUGACGCUGAGGCGCGAAAGCUAGGGUAGCAAACGGG
rnacentral:rRNA from 1 species